rnacentral:rRNA from 1 species
GACGAACGCUGGCGGCGUGCCUUAUGAAUGCGAGUCGAGCGGGGUGCCACACUGCAGCAUUUGUCAACCUGCCUUCGGGCAGAGCGACGGAAGCUGCGCCGUGGCACCUAGCGGCGAACGGGUGAGUAACACGUGGGUAACGUGCCCCGGAGUCUGGGAUAACCUCCAGAAAUGGUGGCUAAUACCGGAUAUUAUGCCGAAAGGCAUCUUUCGUGUAUGAAAGGAUUUCGGUUCGCUCCGGGAUCGGCCCGCGGCCUAUUAGCCUGUUGGUAGGGUAACGGCCUACCAAGGCUGCGAUGGGUAGCCGGCCUGAGAGGGUGGUCGGCCACACUGGGACUGAGACAUGGUCCAGACUCCUACGGGAGUUAGCAUCGGGGAAUCUUGCGCAAUGGGCGAAAGCCUGACGCAGCGACGCCGCGUGGGUGAUGAAGGCCUUCGGGUCGUAAAGCCCUGUCAGGGGGGACGAAUGCCGGAUGCUUCGUGCAUCCGGAGCGACGGUACCCCCAAAGGAAGCCCCGGCUAACUACGUGCCAGCAGCCGCGGUAAGACGUAGGGGGCGAGCGUUGUCCGGAUUUACUGGGCGUAAAGCGCGCGUAGGCGGCCAGGUAAGUCGUAGGUGAAAUCCCUGGGCUCAACCCAGGAACGGCUUACGAUACUGCUUGGCUAGAGUACGGGAGAGGAGAGCGGAAUUGCUGGUGUAGCGGUGAAAUGCGUAGAUAUCAGCAGGAACGCCCGUGGCGAAGGCUGCUCUCUGGAACGCUACUGACGCUAAGGCGCGAAAGCUAGGGGAGCAAACGGGAUUAGAUACCCCGGUAGUCCUAGCUGUAAACGAUGGGCACUAGGUGUUGGGGGCAUCGACCCUCCCAGUGCUGGUAUGCUAACGCGUUAAGUGCCCCGCCUGGGGAAUACGGCCGCAAGGUUGAAACUCAAAGGAAUUGACGGGGGCCCGCACAAGCGGUGGAGCAUGUGGCUCAAUCGGAUGCAACGCCGGGAACCUUACCAGGGCUUGACAUCCCCGGACAAUCCGGGAAACCGGACUUCCUGCGCAAGCAGGCUGGGUGACAGGUGGUGCAUGGCUGUCGUCAGCUCGUGUCGUGAGAUGUUGGGUUAAGUCCCGCAACGAGCGCAACCCUCAUCAGAUGUUGCCAUCGGGUAAAGCCGGGCACUCUUCUGAAACUGCCUGAGUAAUCAGGAGGAAGGUGGGGACGACGUCAAGUCGGCAUGCCCCUUACGUCCUGGGCUGCACACGUGCUACAAUGGCCGGUACAGAGGGCAGCAAAGCCGUGAGGCGGAGCGAAUCCCUAAAGCCGGUCCCAGUUCGGAUUGGAGUCUGCAACUCGACUCCAUGAAGUCGGAAUCGCUAGUAACCGCGAAUCAGCAACGUCGCGGUGAAUACGUUCCCGGGCCUUGUCCACACCGCCCGUCAGAUCACGAAAGCAAGCAGCGCCCGAAGCCGGUGGGCCAACGGCAUUUUAUGCCGAGGCAGCCGUCGAAGGUGAGGCCUGUGAUUGGGACC